AACGAUGGACCGCCGCCGCGUUGUUAUGGCCACGCCAUUAAUAGCGAGGAAAGUCCGGACUCCGCAGGGCAUGAUGCCGGCUAACAGCCGGGGACGCCGGAAAUGGCGUUACAGACAGCGCAACAGAAAAUAUACCGCCAUGCGCCUCACGGCGCAUGGUAAGGGUGAAAUGGCGGGGUAAGAGCCCACCGCGGAAUUGGCGACAAUUCCGGCACGGCAAACCUCAUCAGGAGCAAAGCCAAACAGCGGUUAGCCUGCCCGGGUGUUAACCGCGGGUAGGCUGCAAGGAAACCGCCGGCAACGGCGGUUCAAGACAGAUGGCGGCAGCCUUCGGGGCGCGCCUUCCCCAAGAAGGCCGCCCGCGGAAGGUUACAGAAUCCGGCUUACGGUUCAUCGUUUUUU
rnacentral:RNase_P_RNA from 1 species